GUGAGUGGCGAACUGGUGAGUAACACGUGGGAAACCUGCCCAGAAGCGGGGGAUAACACCUGGAAACAGAUGCUAAUACCGCAUAACAACUUGGACCGCAUGGUCCGAGUUUGAAAGAUGGCUUCGGCUAUCACUUUUGGAUGGUCCCGCGGCGUAUUAGCUAGAUGGUGGGGUAACGGCUCACCAUGGCAAUGAUACGUAGCCGACCUGAGAGGGUAAUCGGCCACAUUGGGACUGAGACACGGCCCAAACUCCUACGGGAGGCAGCAGUAGGGAAUCUUCCACAAUGGACGAAAGUCUGAUGGAGCAACGCCGCGUGAGUGAAGAAGGGUUUCGGCUCGUAAAACUCUGUUGUUAAAGAAGAACAUAUCUGAGAGUAACUGUUCAGGUAUUGACGGUAUUUAACCAGAAAGCCACGGCUAACUACGUGCCAGCAGCCGCGGUAAUACGUAGGUGGCAAGCGUUGUCCGGAUUUAUUGGGCGUAAAGCGAGCGCAGGCGGUUUUUUAAGUCUGAUGUGAAAGCCUUCGGCUCAACCGAAGAAGUGCAUCGGAAACUGGGAAACUUGAGUGCAGAAGAGGACAGUGGAACUCCAUGUGUAGCGGUGAAAUGCGUAGAUAUAUGGAAGAACACCAGUGGCGAAGGCGGCUGUCUGGUCUGUAACUGACGCUGAGGCUCGAAAGUAUGGGUAGCAAACAGGAUUAGAUACCCUGGUAGUCCAUACCGUAAACGAUGAAUGCUAAGUGUUGGAGGGUUUCCGCCCUUCAGUGCUGCAGCUAACGCAUUAAGCAUUCCGCCUGGGGAGUACGGCCGCAAGGCUGAAACUCAAAGGAAUUGACGGGGGCCCGCACAAGCGGUGGAGCAUGUGGUUUAAUUCGAAGCUACGCGAAGAACCUUACCAGGUCUUGACAUACUAUGCAAAUCUAAGAGAUUAGACGUUCCCUUCGGGGACAUGGAUACAGGUGGUGCAUGGUUGUCGUCAGCUCGUGUCGUGAGAUGUUGGGUUAAGUCCCGCAACGAGCGCAACCCUUAUUAUCAGUUGCCAGCAUUAAGUUGGGCACUCUGGUGAGACUGCCGGUGACAAACCGGAGGAAGGUGGGGAUGACGUCAAAUCAUCAUGCCCCUUAUGACCUGGGCUACACACGUGCUACAAUGGAUGGUACAACGAGUUGCGAACUCGCGAGAGUAAGCUAAUCUCUUAAAGCCAUUCUCAGUUCGGAUUGUAGGCUGCAACUCGCCUACAUGAAGUCGGAAUCGCUAGUAAUCGCGGAUCAGCAUGCCGCGGUGAAUACGUUUCCCGGGCCUUGUACACACCGCCCGUCACACCAU
rnacentral:rRNA from 1 species